AUCCAGCUGACGAGUCUCAAAUGAGACGAAACGUGCGUCUUUGCUU
rfam:Schistosoma rodhaini strain Burundi genome assembly, scaffold: SROB_scaffold0010467